rnacentral:rRNA from 1 species
GACGAACGCUGGCGGCGUGCCUAAUACAUGCAAGUAGAACGCAGUUGCGAACGUGUGAGUAACUCGUAGGUAACUGCCUCAUAGCGGGGGAUAACUAUUGGAAACGAUAGCUAAUACCGCAUCCUGUGAGAUGUACCUGCUUUGUAUUAGCUAGUUGGUGAGGUAAAGGCUCACCAGGGCGACGAUACAUAGCCGACCUGAGAGGGUGAUGGGACACACUGGGACUGAGACACGGCACAGACUACUACGGGAGGAAGCAGUAGGGAAUCUUCGGCAAUGGACGGAAGUCUGACCGAGCAACGCCGCGUGAGUGAAGAAGGGUUUCGGAUCGGAAAGCUCUGUUGUUAGAGAAGCGGUAACUAAACAGAAAGGGACGGCUAACUACGUGCCAGCAGCCGCGGUAAUAC